rnacentral:sRNA from 1 species
GCCUGUUGCCUGGGCUACAAACGGAAGACUCCGUUCCUACUCCUUGCGCCCAGGGGAAAGUACCCGGACCUCCAGCAGAGAGUGUCACGUGAGCGUGCACGUUGACCUUCCCCGCAUCUCACAAAUAACUCCGCUGCUGAGUGCACUCUGAGAAUAUUUCUGGCGAGGCUUUGGGAACCACAUGGAGUGCCAGGGAUAACAAGGCAGGC